rnacentral:lncRNA from 1 species
AAAAAAAAACAAAACCUCCAGGCAGAGAAAAUCUGGGAAUUUCUGAUUUAUUUCUACUCGUGGAAAAGGGCGAAUUCCGGAAAAAUUCCGGAAUUUUUCCUGGGAAAAAACAAAAAUUCGGCUUCGCCUCGACCUCGGAAAAUCGGGAAUUUCUGGGAUUUCUCCCGUUUUUCCCAGAAUUUUGGGAUAAUUUUAUUGUUUUUAUUCCUCAAUUUUUUGAUAUUCCAACCCCAACUUUUCCUUCUUUUCGCACGUUUUCCGGAAUUUUUCCAUAUUUUUCAUUUUUUUUCCAUCGUUUUUCAACAUUUCCCCAAUAUUUUCCCACGUUUUUCCAUAUUUUUCCCAUUUUUCCAUCAUUUUUCCAUAUUUUUCCCAUUUUUCCAUCAUUUUUUCCAAUAUUUUUUUCCACAUUUUUCCACAUUUUUCCAUAUUCUCCCACCUUUUCCCAUUUUCCCACAUUUUCCCAUAUUUUUUCCUCAUUUUCCCACAUUUUCCCAUAAUUUUUCCAUAUUCUUUCCGCAAUUUUCCAAUAUUUUUCCAUAUUUUUCCAUAUUUUUCCAUAUUCUCCCACAUUUUCCCAAAUUUCCCACAUUUUCCCACAUUUUUCCACAUUUUUCCAUAUUUUUCCUAUAUUUAUUCCACAUUUUCCCCACAUUUUUCCAUAAUUUUCCACAUUUUUUCCCCAUUUUCCCACUUUUUCCACAUUUCCCACAUUUUCCAUAUUUUUCCAUAUUUUUUCCAUAUUUUUCCACACUUUUCCACAUUUUUCCAUAUUUAUUCCACAUUUUCCCACAUUUUUCCAUCAUUUUUUCCAUAUUUAUUCCACAUUUUUCCAUAUUUUUCCAUAUUUUUCCAUAUUUUUCCAUAUUUUUUCCACAUUUUCCCAAUUUUUUCCCAAUUUUUUUCCCAAUUUUUUUCCCAAUUUUUUCCCAAUUUUUCCACAUUUUUCCCAUCAUUUUUUCCAUCAUUUUUCCCACAUUUUCCCAAUUUUUUCCCAAUUUUUUCCCAAUUUUUUUCCCAAUUUUUUCCCAAUUUUUUCCCAAUUUAUUUCCAAUUUUUUUCCCCAAUUUUUUCCCAAUUUUUUCCCAAUUUUUUUCCCAAUUUUUUCCCAAUUUUUCCACAUUUUUUCCACAUUUUUCCACAUUUUUCCACUUUUUUUUCCCAAUUUUUUUCCCAAUUUUUCCCCAAUUUUUUCCCAAUUUUUCCCCAUUUUCCCAAUUUUUCCCCAUUUUCCCAAAAAAAACCCCUCCAAAAUUCCUCCGUUUUUCCACCAAAACCCUCCCAGAAUUCCCGAUUUUUCCCAGACUUUUCUCCUCCUUUUCCAAGAUUUUUAUAAAAAAUUCCAUUCCCGACCCAAAUUCCUUUUUUUUUUUUCCCGUUUUUUCCUCAUUUUUCCCACCCUCAUUCCCGGUUUUUUUUCCCGCCUCCCUUUUGGAAAAAUCCGGAAUUUUCCCCUCCCCCACCCACCAAAAAAAAAAUCCCGAAAAAAAAAAUGGGAAAAUCCCAAAAAAAAAUUCACCAGGAACGGAAAAUUCUGGAAAAUCCCCCCCAAAAAAUUCCCAAAAAAUCCCCCCAAAAAAUCCCCAAAAAUUCCCCAAAAAUCCCCAAAGAAUUCCCAAAAAAUGCCCCAAAAAUUCCCAAAAAAUUCCCAAAAAAUCCAAAAAAAUUCCAAAAAAAUCCCAAAGAAUUCCUAAAAAAUUCCCAAAAAAUCCCAAAGAAUUCCCAAAAAAUGCCCCAAAAAUUCCCCAAAAAUUCCCAAAAAAUCCAAAAAAAUUCCAAAAAAAUCCCCCCAAAAAUCCCCAAAAAUUCCCAAAAAAUUCCCAAAAAAUCCCCAAAGAAUUCCCAAAAAAUGCCCCAAAAAUUCCCAAAAAAUUCCCAAAAAAUCAAAAAAAAUUCCAAAAAAAUCCCAAAGAAUUCCUAAAAAAUUCCCCAAAAAUCCCCAAAGAAUUCCCAAAAAAUGCCCCAAAAAUUCCCCAAAAAUUCCCAAAAAAUCCAAAAAAAUUCCAAAAAAACCCCCCCAAAAAUCCCCAAAAAUUCCCCAAAAAUUCCCAAAAAAUCCCCAAAGAAUUCCCAAAAAAUGCCCCAAAAAUUCCCCAAAAAUUCCCAAAAAAUCAAAAAAAGUUCCAAAAAAAUCCUCCCGAAAAUCCCCAAAAAUUCCCCAAAGAAUUCCCAAAAAAUCCCAAAAAAUUCCCAAAAUAUUCCCCCAAAAAUCCCAAAGAAUUCCCGGAAAACGACGGCGCCGGGGGCGGAAUUUGGGAUCGGCCAAUCCCAGUUGGGCACUGGGAGCACUGGGAACGCCGGGAAGUGACCGGAACCACGGAAUGCUGGGAAUUCCCCACUUAAUUAAUGAAUUAAUGAAUGAAUUCACCCCUAAUUAAUUACUUAGAGAUCGUUAAUUAGCCACGGGAAGGAGUUGGG